rnacentral:rRNA from 1 species
GAUGAAUGCUGGCGGCGUGCUUAACACAUGCAAGUCGAACGAUGAAGCCCAGCUUGCUGGGCGGAUUAGUGGCGAACGGGUGAGUAACACGUGAGUAACCUGCCCUUGACUCUGGGAUAAGCCCGGGAAACUGGGUCUAAUACCGGAUAGGAGCGCCUGUCGCAUGACGGGUGCUGGAAAGAUCUUUCGGUCAUGGAUGGACUCGCGGCCUAUCAGCUUGUUGGUGAGGUAAUGGCUCACCAAGGCGACGACGGGUAGCCGGCCUGAGAGGGUGACCGGCCACACUGGGACUGAGACACGGCCCAGACUCCUACGGGAGGCAGCAGUGGGGAAUAUUGCACAAUGGGCGGAAGCCUGAUGCAGCGACGCCGCGUGAGGGAUGACGGCCUUCGGGUUGUAAACCUCUUUCAGUAGGGAAGAAGCGAAAGUGACGGUACCUGCAGAAGAAGCACCGGCUAACUACGUGCCAGCAGCCGCGGUAAUACGUAGGGUGCGAGCGUUAUCCGGAAUUAUUGGGCGUAAAGAGCUCGUAGGCGGUUUGUCGCGUCUGUCGUGAAAGUCCGGGGCUUAACCCCGGAUCUGCGGUGGGUACGGGCAGACUAGAGUGCAGUAGGGGAGACUGGAAUUCCUGGUGUAGCGGUGGAAUGCGCAGAUAUCAGGAGGAACACCGAUGGCGAAGGCAGGUCUCUGGGCUGUAACUGACGCUGAGGAGCGAAAGCAUGGGGAGCGAACAGGAUUAGAUACCCUGGUAGUCCAUGCCGUAAACGUUGGGCACUAGGCGUGGGGACCAUUCCACGGUUUCCGCGCCGCAGCUAACGCAUUAAGUGCCCCGCCUGGGGAGUACGGCCGCAAGGCUAAAACUCAAAGGAAUUGACGGGGGCCCGCACAAGCGGCGGAGCAUGCGGAUUAAUUCGAUGCAACGCGAAGAACCUUACCAAGGCUUGACAUGUUUUCGAUCGCCGUGGAGACACGGUUUCCCCUUUGGGGCGGAUUCACAGGUGGUGCAUGGUUGUCGUCAGCUCGUGUCGUGAGAUGUUGGGUUAAGUCCCGCAACGAGCGCAACCCUCGUUCCAUGUUGCCAGCACGUUGUGGUGGGGACUCAUGGGAGACUGCCGGGGUCAACUCGGAGGAAGGUGAGGACGACGUCAAAUCAUCAUGCCCCUUAUGUCUUGGGCUUCACGCAUGCUACAAUGGCCGGUACAAUGGGUUGCGAUACUGUGAGGUGGAGCUAAUCCCAAAAAGCCGGUCUCAGUUCGGAUUGGGGUCUGCAACUCGACCCCAUGAAGUCGGAGUCGCUAGUAAUCGCAGAUCAGCAACGCUGCGGUGAAUACGUUCCCGGGCCU